rnacentral:rRNA from 1 species
UACGUAGGUGGCAAGCGUUGUCCGGAAUCACUGGGCGUAAAGCGCGCGCAGGCGGCGAUCUACGUCUGGGGUGAAAGCCCGGAGCUCAACUCCGGGACUGCCUUGGAUACGGGAUCGCUUGAGGAUUGGAGAGGCAAGGGGAAUUCCACGUGUAGCGGUGAAAUGCGCAGAUAUCAGGAGGACCACCGGUGGCGAAGGCGGGUCUCUGGGCCGAUACUGACGCUGAGGAGCGAAAGCGUGGGGAGCGAACAGG